UCAACUUUUAAAUUGAGCUGGACUUUCACACGGGCUUCCAAUGGUACUCCCAGUCUCUAUAAACAAUAUAAUAUAACGUUGUAUAGUAGGUUGAAUUUUUAAGAAUGUUUCAUGCUUUUCUUGAUCUGGUGAAAGACCCUCUACAUCUUCUAAAAGUUUUGGAUCAGCUUUGUAGAAAUGAGGAAAAGACAAGUAAACUGGAGCAUCUAUAAACAAUCACACCACAUUUUACUUAAAACUGUAAAGGGGUUUGUUUCAUAUAAAUAUAUGAGGACUGGAACUACUAUAUUAUUUAUGCAAUUCAGUACAAGGGCGUACAUACAAGAUGCUUGUUGAUAC